rfam:Vigna angularis cultivar Jingnong 6 chromosome 1, whole genome shotgun sequence.
GUGUUUCCCAGAGUUCCCCUGACCACUUCAAUAUGGAUUUUCAUCACUUCUUUUACUCAGAAUCUCUAUGAAUUCCUUCCUAUUGAAGUGUUUGGAGGAACUCCCGGAAUCAC